GCGCGAAAACUUUACAAUGCUGGCAACAGCGAUAAGGGAACCUCGAGUGCCAGGUUACAAAUCUGGCUGUCGAGAUGCCUAAAAAGCAUUUCAUAGCAAGGGCCGGGCAAGACCGGUGCCAGCCGCCGCGGUAACACCGGCGGCUCGAGUGGUAACCGUUAUUAUUGGGUAUAAAGGGUCUGUAGCCGGCCGGAUAAGUCUCUUGAGAAAUCUGGCAGCUUAACUGUCAGGCUUUCAGGAGGUACUGUCUGGCUCGAGGACGGGAGGGGUGAGAGGUACUUCAGGGGUAGUGGUGAAAGCUUGUAAUCCUUGAAGGACCACCAGUGGCGAAGGCGUCUCGCCAGAACGGACCUGACGGCAAGGGGCGAAAGCUAUGGGCACGAACC
rnacentral:rRNA from 1 species